UAUUGUCGAGGGCUGGGAAUGAGCGGCGAGGUCUCAAGUAACGCUGGCUGUUCGAUGACAAAUGCAUUGCUGAGGGGGGAGUCUGCACUGCAAAAAAAAAAAUAAGCCCCGUUUUGCAAAAAUGCCACCGACCCACGGGCUUCCCUGAGUGAGAGGAAACAGCUUUCCAAUCAAGUCAAGGAAGGUCAAGUGGCACAUUAGAUAACAUCCUUGCCUCUGAGACAGAAGGUCCAGAUUUGAGUCCCAUCGCAAGACUUGCCAGUGAUGGAAGAUUUCCACCACUUGCUGUUUUCUUUGCUCAUUUAACUAUGAGCUUUUGGAGAUCAAUAAAAGGAUCUGAUCACUCUCAAGCUGAAAGAACCUCUCCAUCCGGAUACAAAGCAUUGUACAGGCUGCAAACAAUCAUAGUGGUCCUUGUGGGAAUGGGUGGAGACUUUCCCUGGCCUGGUGAACCUUCCUGAUGAAGGGCUUUUGCCCGAAACAUCGAUUCUCUUGCUCCUCGGAUGUUGCCUGACCUGCUCUGCUUUUCCAACACCACACUCUUGACUGAUGAACAUUCAAGCCGACAUUCAUGGGGAGCAAGUCCAGAGAUGUUGAGCUAAAAUAUGUUUUUUUGUGAGUUUGCUUUGUAUGAUAGACAUUGAAUGGUGUUUGGAACUUGGACAAAUCAGCAGCAUAACUAGAAUAAAUACAAAGUUUCGACUUGCAAAUUUCUACAAUACUGAUCUGGAAAUUUAUUGUGUUUGGGUUUUUCUAACUAGUGGUGAGUAAAUUAUUGUUAAUCGACUGGUUUGAACAAGUUGUGACACACCUCUGUGGCUGGUGGGACUUGAUCCCAAGCAUUCCCAAGACCCUCCUCUGUAUCAUAUUUAAUUAUACCAGGCUGGGUUCUGUGCUUACCUAUGUAGAUUGAUUCCCCAGCAGAUGAACUAGAUAAAGGAGAGUAAGACUUCCACAGGCUUUGCUGGGUUGAAUUGGACUCCUUGUUCCAAAUUUGUUUUUAGAAAGGAAAGGACUGAUCAGGGAUUGUCAGCAUGGCUUCAUGCAUGGGAAAUCA